GACGAACGCUGGCGGCGUGCUUAACACAUGCAAGUCGAACGAUGAUGCUGGAGCUUGCUCCAGUUGAUUAGUGGCGAACGGGUGAGUAACACGUGAGCAAUCUGCCCUUGACUCUGGGAUAACUGCGGGAAACUGUAGCUAAUACCGGAUACUUUCACCGGAAGGCAUCUUCUGGUGAUGAAAGAAUUUCGGUCAGGGAUGAGCUCGCGGCCUAUCAGCUUGUUGGUGAGGUAACGGCUCACCAAGGCGACGACGGGUAGCCGGCCUGAGAGGGUGGCCGGCCACACUGGGACUGAGACACUGCCCAGACUGCUACGGGAGGCAGCAGUGGGGAAUAUUGGACAAUGGGCGCAAGCCUGAUGCAGCAACGCCGCGUGAGGGAUGAAGGCCUUCGGGUUGUAAACCUCUUUUAGCAGGGAAGAAGCGAAAGUGACGGUACCUGCAGAAAAAGCACCGGCUAACUACGUGCCAGCCGCCGCAGUAA
rnacentral:rRNA from 1 species